UACGUAGGGUGCAAGCGUUGUCCGGAAUUAUUGGGCGUAAAGAGCUCGUAGGCGGUUUGUCGCGUCUGCUGUGAAAACGCGGGGCUCAACUCCGCGCCUGCAGUGGGUACGGGCAGACUAGAGUGCAGUAGGGGAGACUGGAAUUCCUGGUGUAGCGGUGGAAUGCGCAGAUAUCAGGAGGAACACCGGUGGCGAAGGCGGAUCUCUGGGCCAUUACUGACGCUGAGGAGCGAAAGCGUGGGGAGCGAACAGGA
rnacentral:rRNA from 1 species